GGGGGCAGCCCCCGCGCGGAUCGCGGCGCCCCCUGGCGGCUCCAAGCGGCGCGACCCGGUGCUGCUCGAGUCCACCUCCAGUCGGCCUCCAGUCCGGUCCCGGUAACUCCGACUCCUAGACCACACACCCCUACCCCCGACCACUGGCUCCGCACCCUCCCGGGCGCCCCACCCCAGAGUCUCCGUCCUGGCCCUCCACUCAAACCCGGUAUGCGGCCGUCCUUCCUCCUUUGGCAGAGUCUGUGUCCUACGCUCUAGUCGCAUGCGUCCCUGCCAUCCCGAGGGAGUGGGUCCUGACCUACUAACAGUAGGGACGGCGACUCCGCGAGCGUAGUCCCAUUGUUGGAUCUCGCUGAUUCGACACUUGGAGGCGCCUGUGGGGGGUCCGUCUCCUUGGUGUCCCAGGCCUCAUGACCCCUCUCUGAGGAGUCCCUACUCCAGCCACACCGAAACCAGGACUUACAACUCCAAACCAUCUUAUGUCUGAUGCUCCCUUCUGAGCAGAUAGAAGAGCUGAAAGCAACAGACUCACUCAGCCAUGCUGAAAUCUUGAGAAAACAGCAGGACUAUGCCCACGGUGGAGAGUAGAAGCUACUGGAUGCCCUAGCCAGCCCGUGGUAUGCACCAGCACUCCCCUCACCUGCAUGCCACACACA